GACGGAGGGUGCAAGCGUUGCUCGGAAUCACUGGGCGUAAAGGGUGCGUAGGCGGUCUCGCAAGUCUGGCGUGAAAGCCCAAGGCUCAGCCUUGGAAGUGCGCUCGAAACGGCGAGGCUGGAGUGCCGGAGGGGAGAGUGGAAUUCCCGGUGUAGCGGUGAAAUGCGUAGAGAUCGGGAGGAAUACCGGUGGCGAAAGCGGCUUACUGGGUCUCUUCUGACGCUGAGGUACGAAAGCCAGGGGAGCGAAGGGG
rnacentral:rRNA from 1 species